UGGGGAAUAUUGCACAAUGGGCGCAAGCCUGCUGCAGCGACGCCGCGUGGGGGUUGACGGCCUUCGGGUUGUAAACUCCUUUCGCUAGGGACGAAGCUUUUUGUGACGGUACCUAGUUAAGAAGCACCGGCUAACUACGUGCCAGCACCCGCGGUAAUACGUAGGGUUCGAGCGUUGUCCGGAAUUACUGGGCGUAAAGGGCUCGUCGGUGGUUUGUCGCUUCGUCUGUGAAAUUCCGGGGCUUAACUCCGGGCGUGCAGGGGAUACGGGCAUAACUUGAGUACUGUAGGGGUAGCUGGAAUUCGUGGGGUAGCGGUGAAAUGCGCAGAUAUCAGGAGGAACACCGAUGGCGAAGGCAGGUUACUGGGCAGUUACUGACGCUGAGGAGCGAAAGCAUGGGUAGCGAACAGG
rnacentral:rRNA from 1 species